rnacentral:rRNA from 1 species
UACGUAGGGGGCAAGCGUUGUCCGGAUUUACUGGGCGUAAAGAGCGCGUAGGCGGAGACGGAAGUCCGGUGUGAAAGCCCACGGCUUAACCGUGGAAGGUCGCUGGAAACUCCGUUUCUUGAGCACGAUAGAGGGAAGUGGAAUUGCUGGUGUAGCGGUGAAAUGCGUAGAUAUCAGCAGGAACACCCGUGGCGAAGGCGGCUUCCUGGAUCGUAGCUGACGCUGAGGCGCGAAAGCGUGGGGAGCGAACGGGAUUAGAUACCCCGGUAGUCCACGCCGUAAACGAUGGUCACUAGGUGUAUGGGGUAUCGACCCCCCAUGUGCCGCAGCUAACGCAAUAAGUGACCCGCCUGGGGAGUACGGCCGCAAGGUUGAA